GACGAACGCUGGCGGCGUGCUUAACACAUGCAAGUCGAACGGUAAGGCCCUUCGGGGUACACGAGUGGCGAACGGGUGAGUAACACGUGGGUGAUCUGCCCUGCACUUCGGGAUAAGCCUGGGAAACUGGGUCGAAUACCGGAUAGGACCACUGCCUGCAUGGGUGGUGGUGGCAAGCUUUUGCGGUGUGGGAUGGGCCCGCGGCCUAUCAGCUUGUUGGUGGGGUGAUGGCCUACCAAGGCGACGACGGGUAGCCGGCCUGAGAGGGUGACCGGCCACACUGGGACUGAGAUACGGCCCAGACUCCUACGGGAGGCAGCAGUGGGGAAUAUUGCACAAUGGGCGCAAGCCUGAUGCAGCGACGCCGCGUGAGGGAUGACGGCCUUCGGGUUGUAAACCUCUUUCAGCACCGACGAAGCGCAAGUGACGGUAGGUGCAGAAGAAGGACCGGCCAACUACGUGCCAGCAGCCGCCGCAG
rnacentral:rRNA from 1 species